rnacentral:rRNA from 1 species
GUCCACGCCGUAAACGAUGAUAACUAGCUGUCCGGGUUCAUAGAACUUGGGUGGCGCAGCUAACGCAUUAAGUUAUCCGCCUGGGGAGUACGGUCGCAAGAUUAAAACUCAAAGGAAUUGACGGGGGCCUGCACAAGCGGUGGAGCAUGUGGUUUAAUUCGAAGCAACGCGCAGAACCUUACCAGCGUUUGACAUCCUGAUCGCGGAUUAGAGAGAUCUUUCCUUCAGUUCGGCUGGAUCAGUGACAGGUGCUGCAUGGCUGUCGU